UUUCCUUUUCCCUCCCAUUAUUUUCCCAAAAUUUAAACCCCGCCCUUAGGAUUCUUUUGCCAAAAUUUUCAAACCCUCAGGCGGUCCAGUUAACUUCCUGAAUUAUUUACCAAAAAAAACAAAAAGCGCUAAUUAUUCUAGAGAGAUGAGAUAGACCGAAAGAAACUCGUGAGUAGAGAAGACAAAGAUUGAGAAGAAACUCAUGAAUAGGGUUUAGUUAUUGACGGAUUAGAUCUCUAAUUUGCAAGUAUUUUUGUGCAAUUUCACGCAAGGUCUAGCAAUUGGUUGCAAAUUCUGACAAGAAAGCUCCAAAAGUCUGCAACAAAUUCUAUACAACCACGACGAAGGAAGGGGACGACGAAAGAAGGGGACGAAUAAGGAAGGAGACGGGCCAUCCCACUGUAAUCCCAUACCACAGAUUCAAAAACUCUCACCAGAUUUGUUAUUUCAAUCAAAUUUCUGGCCGAAUUUCAUGAAUUACGUUUAGGGUUUGCCUAUUUGGGAUUUUGAUGAUUUGCAAUGACGGAGUUUAAUACUUUAACAUAUCUGCUCUUUGCAAUUUCAAUGGGUUCACUUUAUUUCAAAGAUGAAUUUGAUUUAGGGCAGUAGGGUUCUAGGUGGUGUUUUUUCUGUGAAAGUAGUGGAACUGUUGUCUGCUAGUAUUUCAGUUGGAUGGUGGGUGCAGUUGGAUGGCUUCUUGCUGUUAUUUUAUGGCGUGUUCUUUGGUCAGCUUGCCAUUUUGUUUUGUUGCUUCUUCUUUAGUUUGAGUGCCUGGUGUAUUGUUUUCUUAUUUAGAUUCAGUGAUUGGAAUUUCAAAUUUAUUGGAAUCAUGUGUGUUUUACAUGUAGCUUAUGAUCUGUCCUCUCCUUUAGGCAUGUAAUUAUUCUGGCUGCUUGUUUUAUUCUCUGGAAACAACACACUAUUAUGAUCUUGGUGAUUCAGAUUUCGAGCAAUUGAUGUGAACAAUGGAGGAAUUUGUGUUUUUAACUUCAAUAAAACGGGAGAAGCUAUGCUUCAUUCUCUGAACAUGACUGCCCACAUGUACACCGAUCACACUUAUAUGUACUGAAUCGUGUUGCUGCUCUUGAACUGGAAGGGGGCUCACUAGAGAUUAACUCAAUAUAUGUGUAAAUAGAUGUUGUCCUAGCAUGAACAUUCUGAUCCCUUACAUACCUACAAUACAUUAAUACAUUGAUUUCAAUUGGCUGUAAUGCUCUAAUAGUUUGUGGCAAUUCACUGUCACUUGUCGCCGUUGUCGGUUUUAAAGAUGCCACUGCUUAUAUAUAUGAGGAGAUACUGGGGAUUUAGCAACUGAUAUAUUUAGUUAAAUAGUUUCAUGUCUUCCUCUUGUUUUAGUUUUCUUCGAUUUUCAGGAUAGACUUCCUUCUUUUUUAACUUCUAUUAUCUCCAUUGAUCUAAACUUAUUUUCUCCAAUUUGAGUGGCCCUGAUAUGAACUUAUUUAAGGUCGUGUUGUGUUCUAUUUUCCGUUUAAAUAAGGGUCGGUAAAGUUUUCAAAAUGUUCCAUGGGAUAGGCUGUAAGGUAUUGUUAACUUUUAUUUUAGUUUUUAAUACGAAGUAUAAUUAUUAUUUUUUGUUAUAAUCUGGUUUAGAACAACAAACUAUACAAAUUAGUAAGCUGUUAGUGUUAUCUAUAUGUGAAGUAAAAAAAUCAUCAAAGAGUUUUGUUAUUUUGGUCAAGUAAUCAUCAUGAUUUAUUUAAGUUGUUGAUAUACUGUGAGUUGUAUAUGGUAUUGAUAUUUUGUUUCAAUUUUUAUUAAAUUUUGUUUGUGUGGUAAUUUGCGAGCGCACUGGAGUGUGGUGAUUUAGAAAAUAAUGUAGUUAGUUUUACUUUAGGGGAUGAGAAGUAAACCAUCAAAUUGUUUAGAAAUUUUAGUUUGAAUGUGGUGAUAUGAAGCGAGUGCAGACUAGAGUAUGCAGUAUAUUGAGCUAGCUUCGACAUUAUAACUGUAGUGUGAGUUACUUUUGUUUGGAUGUUAUUGUUGAGCGUUGUCAUGUUCUCAAUCUUGCGAAAAACUACACGCUAAAGUAAUUGAUUAGCUUAAAUCAUAGGUUUCAAUUUCCUUGUUGAUUUUAUCAUUUUGUGAAGGUAUCUUGUGGUGCUUAACUCUUACAGUACCUUCCUUAGUCAGUUAGAAAGGGCUAAAGAAUUAAAUAGAGUAAGUUUAUGCUUUUUUUCUUUUUUGUUUUACUAAAUUUUGGUGUGCUUUCUUCAGAUGCUUUUGCAAUUAGUAUGAAGGAUUAUGGAUUAGUACUUUAUGCGAAGGGUGAAAAAUUAUGGAGGACUAUAAAUUAGUUUCCUAAUUAACAUUUCACUUAGUACCUUUAAUCCCCUCGAUCUCUUACAGGGCCCUGUUUUCCUCUUGCUUAAGGAUUGUUUUUUGGCAAUAAUUGGUUUAUGAUGUUCAGAAAAGAGUAGGCACAAAUAGUAAUGGUUUAUGAUUGUAUUUCCUAAAAUGCCAAGCUUCAAUUGAUUUGAGUGGUAGCCUGGUAGGGAUUAGGGAGGUGAUGAAAGAACAUAACUACUUAUAUCUUAGCUAUUCAUAUUUAUGAUCUGAUUUAAUGUCAAUGAACUUGAGAUAGUCUUGGUAAAAUGAUGAGAGACUGCUGGUCAAUCAGGCACUAGUUCACUACUUCAUUAUAGCGGUUUUCAUACUAGUCAAUUGUAAUGCACCUUUGAUUUUCGUUUGAAAGUUGCAAUCUUAUAUAAUAAUAAGAAUGUUAGUGGCUUAUGUGAGGCCUCCGAAUCCCCAAUUGAACAAUUCUGUGCAAUCCCGCCAAAACCAUUAAAAUAACUGUAAUACCUUCAAACUCUAAUCUUCAAAAUUUAAAUACGUACUCCUUGAAGCCAAAACCAUUAAAAUAAUUGUUCCACGUUAUCUCUAAAAAAAUCAAGUGUCGUCUGUCCUUUCUCUCUAUUCCGUCUCCUCUCAAAUUUCUGUAUAUUCUGUGUACUUUAGGAAUUUGUGCCAGCAAGCUCAUCUUCAUUAUAUAGAGAUGUGCAUAUUGCAUCUAAAUAUCUUUUUGUCAUUCCAAUGCUUUGAACUUUUGCUUUCAAAACUCAAGGAAUGGCUUGGAGAAGGUUAUGAUUCAGAUGUUUCUUUUGCAAGCGCUCUUGAUCUGAAACAUUUGCAGGAGGGAAUAAUGAUCCUUUAGGUAUUUCUUUUGGAGGUAGGGCACCUCAGAUUCUCCACUCCUCUAUAUUAAACUAUAACCCCUCUCUCUGAUGGUUGUUUUUUUGAGUAUAUGGAUUUUGUUUCGGGAGUCUCUAAAUUGUUUUUUUGGUGUAUCAUAUUUCAAAAAUGAAACAGAAAAGGCACCCUUUUUCAUUUUCAUGUGUAAAUCUGAUUUCAGGCCCUGUCAUGGCAAAAUUUACUAUCGCGUUAAGAGCUUUUCUUGAUGACUGCGAGCUUUGACAUUUCAGGCCCUCUCAAGUCUCUCUUUCCUUUUUUUGUUAUGACUGCGAGCUUUUCUUGAUGUUUUGCGGUUGAAUGCAAUAUUUUCUGGAAUUAUCAUACCGAUGUUGUAAUUUGAACUAAGAAUGUGAUAGCUGAAUGCUAGAACUGACCGAACUUGAACGUUUAUUUUUAUCGUUUUGUCUCCGUAUUAACCUACAUAUAUUCCAUUUUCUGGUUUUUAAAGGUUCAAAUUCGCAUUGUGAUGACCUUCAUGUUUCGGCAAAUGGAUGACAGGAUUGUCACUGUGAUGUACCAAUUGUUCCUUUUGUCUUCUAUGUCAUAAAAUAUACAACUUAACUACUGGAAGAAAGUAGAGCCCUAAACAAAUAAGUACAUCACAGCAUUAGCCUAUACACAAAGGUCCAAAUUCUGAAACAAUAGCUUUUUAUAUGCAGUUGUCGACUCUUAAGCCUUUAUAGUAUCGUUUUCUCAAUCUUUCCUUGCACAUUAAAGAAUAUUUGAGUUUCCAUGUUUACAUAAUAGGUUUGCAUGUGCUGUGUGCUACAAUUUUGAAGAUACAAGGGCAUCAACCUUUGCUAGCUGAUCGAUAAUGGAUGGUCGCUUCUGGAGCUGGUAAAUGAUGACUGAAUGUUUAAUCCUGCAAACAAUAUGCUUCUUCUGGAAAGGGCACUCAUAUUUGAGGAGAAAAAUGAAGGACACGAUUUUUUGAGAGUAUAGGAGUAUGGUGAGCUAAAUGGAGAAGAAAUGUAGAUCUAGCAAUGACACGGUGGAGGCUCUUGUUUGUUUUUGAGUCAUUUUGUGAUUUCUAGUAAUGUACGUUGAAUUUGUUUAUGUGGAUUUUAAUUUUAUGCUUUUUGUCAUUAAAAGCACUAAAUUAAUUAGUGAACGACUAUUUGGUAAUGCAUGUGUCCUAUUGGCACUAAUAUUGUAAUAUUAUUCUUUAAGUCAAUGAAAAUCUUUUAUUAUUGA